rnacentral:rRNA from 1 species
GUUCGGUCCCUAUCCGUCGCAGGCGUAGGAAAUUUGAGAAGACCUGUCCUUAGUACGAGAGGACCGGGAUGGACGUACCUCUGGUGUACCAGUUGUCCUGCCAAGGGCAUGGCUGGGUAGCUAUGUACGGAAUGGAUAAGCGCUGAAAGCAUCUAAGCGCGAAGCCAACUUCAAGAUAAGAUUUCCCACCGCAAGGGUAAGACCCCAGAAAGACUAUCUGGUUGAUAGGUCGAAGGUGUAAGUGCAGCAAUGUAUUUAGCUUAUCGAUACUAAUAGGUCGAGGACUUGACCAA